GUAAUCCGUGGCGGGAGGGGAAGUGGGGCCACUGGGGUUGGCGAAGGGGCCGUUCUCGGCAGCGUACACCUGCACCUCUUGGCAAAACGGGCCCUGCGGCCUGGCAGAAACUUCUGCUGAAUAUUUUGGCUGGAUCCGUGAACUUGUGCGGCUUUUGUGGCAUGGAAACUGCCUAUAACUUAUGCUGAAUAAGCCCCAUAUAUCAUGUUGACAGUUCCAGGACAUUAUAAGAUCAUUUAGCCCUUUCUCACCAAAAACAAUUUCAAACCACAGGGUAAUUAUUUAAUGAUCAGUAAAAGAGCCCCGCAUUAACCUCACGACUGAGAAAAAAGUAAGAUCCAAAAAUCCAAAAUCUCCUCCACCCCCAAACUCCAGCAACUGAAAUCCCACGACCUGCCCCACCUGCUGUGCACCCAGUAGCGUGAAAUCGCAGAGCUGGUGCAGAAAUUACAGCAUGAGAUCCCAGCAUCCUGACCUGGGACGGCUGAGUCUGGAUGAGAGCUGAGAAGAGAAGAUGUGUUUAGAGUGCUCUAAAAUGUCCACAGAUCCUGAGAAAAAAGUUGUUAACAUCCUCAGCAGCAGCCUAAGGAAGCUCCAAGAGACAGCAGAGAUUCAGCUUUUACUCCAUCCGAGCCUGCUGAACACAUAUGGGGAAGUCUAUUUCUUUCCCAAGGGGAAAAGAUCCAGUGCGCCAGUGGUGUAAAACCAAUGCAGCAGUGCCAAAGCCAAUGGCACCACAGUAAUUUGCAUCUGGACUGGUUCAAACUGCUCCCUUUGAAUCAAGACCUUGUUAAUAUGUAAAGAAAACUUUGCCUCUCCUGGGGCUUACAUCUUCCAGCACGAAGUGGAUGGGGUCAUCUCAGCACAGAAAUCAGGCAGUCUCCUAGGAAAAUUUCCCAUCUCUUGAGCAAGGGAAGCUGUACGAUGCCUUGGAGCCUCACUCUGCAUCUUCUUCAUUCUUUAGGCAUCUUCCUCAUUGGCACAGCUGCCCAGGAGUGGUGGGGUCACCGUCCUGGAGGCGCUCCAGAGCCUUGGAGAUGUGGCACUGACGGCAGUGGGCAUGGCGGGGUGGGCUGGGGUUGGGCUUGGGGAUCUCGGAGGUCUUUCUAACCUCAGUGAUUCUAUGACUCUGCGAUUCCAUGACCUCUGUAUCCCCGUGCCCAAGCUCUAAGCAUCCUGAUGGGUAUCACCUCCUAUCCCACAGGUGUCACUGCCAAUCCCACUUGCCAGGCCCAUGUGCACUUCGUUUUCUUGCCCUUCUUGAGAACUGUCUGCAGGUUGUGCUUUGCCUCCAUCAUCAUUGUGGCUUUCAUCUGCACCGGUAGCGGCAAUCCCCACCAUGCAGGAUUUAUUUACAUUGCAGGCCACGAGCAGAGGUUCUAUUCUUCCGAAGCGUCCAGGUUUCUAAGCUCGCAUUAUAUUUUACCUUUUUGGGAAAUUCCUUUCCUAGAAAGGAACAGCUGGUCUUAAUCUGUUCCGAUGAUACCUACUGAUCUAUACAGCAAGAGCAAAGCGAGGCCAACUGUGUUGGAAAGCAUCGUGG
ensembl:lncRNA